rnacentral:rRNA from 1 species
GAUGAACGCUGGCGGCGUGCUUAACACAUGCAAGUCGAACGGAAAGGCCCAAGCUUGCUUGGGUACUCGAGUGGCGAACGGGUGAGUAACACGUGGGUGAUCUGCCCUGCACUUCGGGAUAAGCCUGGGAAACUGGGUCUAAUACCGGAUAGGACGAUGGUUUGGAUGCCAUUGUGGAAAGUUUUUUCGGUGUGGGAUGAGCUCGCGGCCUAUCAGCUUGUUGGUGGGGUAAUGGCCUACCAAGGCGUCGACGGGUAGCCGGCCUGAGAGGGUGUACGGCCACAUUGGGACUGAGAUACAGCGCAGACUCCUACGGGAGGCAGCAGUGGGGAAUAUUGCACAAUGGGGGCAAGCCUGAUGCAGCGACGCCGCGUGGGGGAUGACGGCCUUCGGGUUGUAAACUCCUUUCGCUAGGGACGAAGCGUUUUUGUGACGGUACCUGGAGAAGAAGCACCGGCUAACUACGUG